AAAGACAUACUACAACUAAGAGAUUCGAUUUGGGAGAUAUUUUCUGACUUGAAGAUUCCAAAUGAAGGUGCAACAAAGGUGAUUUGGUAAAGGCAACAGAUUGAAUAGGAGAAAGAGUCAAACACAAUGAAAAUCAGAGAUGGUGGGAAAGCUUCGACAUAUAGUAAGUAGCUUAUUUUAUUUUAUUUGUUUGAUGCAAUUGUUUGGGUUUUAUUCUUUGUUGCUAUCAGAUUUC
rnacentral:lncRNA from 1 species